UACGGAGGGUGCGAGCGUUGUCCGGAAUCACUGGGCGUAAAGGGCGCGUAGGCGGCCUGGCAAGUCGAUGGUGAAAGCCCGAGGCUCAACUUCGGGUCGGCCGUGCGAACUGCUGGGCUGGAGCACUGUAGAGGCAGGCGGAAUUCCGGGUGUAGCGGUGGAAUGCGUAGAGAUCCGGAAGAACACCGGUGGCGAAGGCGGCCUGCUGGGCAGUUGCUGACACUGAGGCGCGACAGCGUGGGGAGCAAACAGG
rnacentral:rRNA from 1 species